AAAUAACUUAUAAAGCUAAAAAAAAAUUAAUUUUUAAAAGUUUAUUUUAAUUUUUUUAAACUUUUACUUUUUAAGUAAACGAUUUUAACAUAAGCUUAGCGGUAUGAAACACAAUUGAUUGACUAUAGAACAAGCAUACACACUUGUUACAUGCUCUAUUUCAAGCCAUCACAGACAAAGAUGGCAAUUUAUUCACAGUACAAAAACAAAAACAAAAACCAAAAAAAAGCUACACACGAAGAGAAAAAAACAAACUGAUCGCGUGCCCACAACAUAACUCUCUCUCUCUCCUCAUGGAUUGGAAGAGAAGUUGAAGUUUAAAUAAUUAUUACGGCGCAUCUGCAGCGAAGUGUAGACCGGCCCAAAUCAAACUGGACCAGAUUAUCCUCCAACUGAUUGUCCCCAAUCAAAAUCUCAGCCUUUGGGCUCAGCCCUCCAUCGGCAAACGCCAAACACUCCCCCCGGACUGGGGCUGGACCAACGAGUUGGCCCCAUAGAUACUCCACACAACGUUUCGGUGACCCAAAACGAAGUAGAUGGUGGGAACACUAGGCUCCAUUCACGUGCUUGGCAACUUUGUCGAGACAAAACAAACGUCAAAAAUGUAAGACUGUGGGUUUCACUCACUUGAGGGACUCCAGAGAGGUGGCCCGUCAAGAACAGAUUGAGAGUGGUAAAAAUGGAGUGCUCCAAGACAGUGUAGGGGUGGUUGCUAAUCGUUGUUCUGAUAAGGCCUUGUUUGGCUGAUGAUGUUUUAAUUGGGAUAGGCUUUCCAUUUAUUUUUAUUGAACUCACUUGUAUAAACUACUCACCCUGUGGGCUAACUAUGAGCGGGGUAUAAGCAGUUUGAGCAGAUAUAUCAAUGCCUGAAAUGAUAUGAUACGGCCCAUUUCGGAAGAAAACGACACCGUUUGAAUUAGGGGAUGCAGUGAGAUACAAGACGAAUUGUGGGCUGAAGUGAGUUGGUCCGGGAGCGAAAAAUAUGCCAUAAAUUACUCAUAAAACAAGGUAUAAAAUUUUCGCCUAAUUUGAUUGGAUGAAAUAUUUAUUUUCCUCUGUCAAGCGCUAUGUGUUAAUUUUCUUAAUAAGCAUUAUCUAUUGUGUAUGGCAAUGGAGAUUGAAAUAGUAAAUAUUUACAAACAAAAUGUUCAUUAUAACAAACAAUAAAAUAACUUGUUUUUAUGGCUGUGACGAAUAUGGAAAAUAAUAAAACUUUUUGCAGACAAAACAUUCCCGAUUCCAAAAGCCUUAAAUAAUAAAAUUUGUCUACGGUGACAGUGGCGACAACGUUAGUGAUAGAAAAUAUUAAAAUUUCACUAUUAAAACAUGUAACAAUAAAAUUUAUCAAUUGCAUGUGGUGGCAGUGGCUCCGGCUGUUGCCAUGGCAGCAACAACAUUGAUGAAUUUGUGACUUUUAUUUGAAUAGCCAUAGAAGGCAAGGGAAAAUUAUCUUAAAAAUAAUUUUACAUUAAAUUAGGAAACCUUUCAACUCAUAAAACAAAAUUUCUACUUUAGACUGCUUUUCUUGCAUCUCAGCCAGGUAUGUUUUAUUGUUUGUAUUGUUAUAGUAAUUAUAUUUGUGCACCGCAUAUGCGUAUCAUUUGACGUGUCAGUUUACACUGUUCAUUUACAUAUGUUGUGUAGAGUUUAUCAAGUGAUCUAAUUGCUCCAUAUAUACUGCCACAUUACAUAAUACUUAAAUGUGGUAUACAAAAGUAAUCAUCAUGGCUAACAACCUACAAGUCAUAAACAAUUUUUUAUGGUAUUUUCAGAAGUUAAUAAUAGUUUUUUUGGGUGAAAAAUCUACUUUACCCCUUGUAGUUUUGACUCGAGCACUUCACCUCCCUCACAUUCAAUAAUAGCCAAGCCAAUUUACCACCACCUUGUUUUGGAGUAAAGUGCAACGUGAACUCUGUUAACUGAAUUGGGGAAAUGACUGUCAUACCCUUUUUUUAUCUUCUUCUCCUAUUUUGUUUUCCUCCUCCUCCUCCUCCUCUUCUUUAUGUGUGUGUGUGUAUAGAUUGGCCAAACAAUUUUUGUUAAGAAGCAAAUUUCAAUAAACCGCUUAUUAUUAAUUAAGCCACAUAUAAUCAAGAUAUUAGACCAAGUUCCCCUAUUCUGCAAGUAAUGUCUGCUUUUAACUUAAGUUUUAAUUAACCAUUCAUUGGAUAUACAUACAAAUGUUUACAUAUGUACAGAUUUAGAAUUCAUGUUAACACAGAUUUCUGUUAAUAAUUGUUUAAAUAGGUUUGGGGAUACAAUAUUCAAGCCCACAAAAUUUUUGUGAUGAAGAAUAGGGGAAGGAUUGGCCCACCACCUGUCACCACCAAUAAUGUUGUCAUUCAUUUUACAGAUUGACAAGAGGACCACAAAAAGCUUUUGGUGGAGCAAUAAUUGAGCAAUUUAUUCUGGUGUUUUGCUACUUUAGACCACAGUGUUGCAUCUCAACCAGGUAUGUUCUUCUGGUAAUGCUCAUUUGAUAUGACAUCUUACAUGAUCUAUUUAAAUGUGUUGCCAGGAUUUAUCAAAUGGUGCAAUUUGUGCACAUAUAUCUAUCACGACAUCACAUGGUACUCAAAUUUAGUCUUUAUAAAAAGUACUUUCUCCAUAUGAACUCCUAAUAGCAGCCAAUCCUUGUCAUGAACAAUUGUUUUUUAUGAUAUUUUUAUAAGGUGAUUUUAAUUAUAAGAUUUUUCAUGUUCUUAUAAAGAUAGGAAAAGAAAAAGAAAAGAAAAAGGUUGUUGGAAAUUUGGAAUUUGUAGACUGAGAAAGUCACUUGCCUCGUGCUAGAAUCUUGUACAUUUUUCUAUUUCUCACGCUACAGCAAAGUAAUCAUCUGAAAAAGUUGUUGGAAUACAAUAUAGAUUCAGAAAGUCAUUUGUAAAUUUUAAUACUGAAAAGAAAAGGGGAAUUAUUAAGCAAAGUAUGAUUGGUGGUCUUUUGCUUGUUGCAUCUAGAUAUUUUUAUGAUGUGGUUCAUUUAGGUGUUUAAAUUCUCUAUUGAACACCAGUGUAAGAAAGCUACAAGCACAAAAUUAGGCCACAAAAGCGGAUGUGGCCACUGGCCAAACACGUCCUCAACUUGGCUCACUCAAGUUACUAAAUAUCGGUCGAUAUGUAUCUGGAUUUUGACAUUCUAAUAUGAAUAUUUUAGUAAAUGUCAACUCAGACUGUCUAAUAUUUUUAUGAUGUGGUUCAUUUAGGUGUUUAAAUUUUCUAUUGAACACCAGUGUAAGAAAGCUACAAGCACAAAAUUAGGCCACAAAAGCGGAUGUGGCCACUGGCCAAACACGUCUUCAACUUGGCUCACUCAAGUUACUAAAUAUCGGUCGAUAUGUAUUUGAAUUUUGACAUUCUAAUAUGAAUAUUUUAGUAAAUGUCAACUCAGACUGUCUAAUAUAGGCCGAUACAUAACCAUAUCACCGAUACAGUUACUGAUAUCAGCCGAUAUGUAUCUGGAUUUUGGUAUUACGAUACGGAUAUUUUAGUAAAUGUCAACCCAGACAGUCUAAUAUAGGCCAAUACAGGACUAUAUCACCGAUACAGUUACUGAUACUGCGAUUUAGGUUUCCCACUGAACCAAUGCUAUAAUUGAAAAAAAGAAGAAAAAAAAGAAACGUAAAAGAAUACUGGCAAUGUUAUUAUGUCUAGAAGUUCACUCAAAGAGAGAGAACACAAGAAAUUCCCAUCUCCAUAGCAGAACCUAUUUCUUCGAUGGCAUUUAUACACUACGUUUUAUAGCAAUAUUUUUUGAGUUGACAACUCUUUAGAGAUUCUAAAAAAUAAAAAUGCCAUUGAACUUUGUUUUUAGACCUCUCCUCGAUCCCAUAAGAAAGAAAUGCUAAAUAACGAACUAAAAAUAAAACAACUACGUGUUCCAAAUCAGUCAAAUCACUACGCAUCUGAAUUACCCAUAGUCAAUUUCUAGGUUUUUCAUUUCAGCUGCAUAACCAAUGGAUGAAUGGGUGAUCUAAGAGAUGUCAGUGGCUAUGGUUUUCAUUUCUAGGGUUUAUUGGCUUGAAUUUGCUUUUUAUUAACAAGUUUGUUAGAUUUAUUUUGAUUAUCAUGGUUCUUAUUUUAUUUUUUUCAGGUGUGUUUUAUAACUGAGUUAUGUAUAUUUUGCUCAAUGGGUAAUGCAGGUAAAAUGAGGUUAGCCCAUCUGAAAUGAAGAAAUGAACAACAUUAAGAGCAUACGGAACAUGUUGAAUUUGUAGGGUCCAUGGGUCCGUUAGCCUGGGGCUAUAUAUCCAUUUUCUCUGUUACUCAUUUUGCAGGUGGAGUUCAACAUUUUCAUAAAUAAUUAAGGCCCCGUUUGACCCAAAAUUUUUCUUGAAUUCUUUAGUUAAUUUGAUUUUUGAGGUUUGGUUAUCUCUAGUAAAUUUUUUUAAUCGUUUGAUCGAAUUUUUAUAUUUUUUUGGUUCUUUUUAAUGAGAAGAGUCUGAAAAUAUAAAAAUAUUCAUCUAAUUUGGAAAGAUGUUCACUAAAGAAAAAAAAAUAACACUUUUUACUCAACAAAUUAGUUAAAUUUUUAUUUCUUAAUGCAUUUUCGGUUCCAAAUUUGAACAAUCUUUUUUCAUUUUGAGAUUUUCUCAUCAACAAGAAAAGAAAAAGCAUAAUUUUUUUAUUAAACAGAGAAAAAAGUCACAAAAAGAUGGAAAAACUUCAAAAUCAAAGCACCUAAAAAAUCUCAAUUUUUUUUUAUGCCAAACUGGGCCUUACUAUUGGUAUUUAUCCUGUUGUACAUAUCACUUUAAAUGUGCAUUUUUACUCUAUGGAUAUAUUUGUUUAGAAAAUAUCAACCACAUCCUGAUGAACAAUGGUUAAAAUAUAAAAUAUAUAUUAAAAUGUGAAAAUGAAUUAAAAUAUAUGAAAGGUAUAUAAAGUUGUAACUUUCUUAACAUUUGGGGAUUUUUAUUUGCAACAUAAGGUCUCCCCCGAGUUGGUAUGAAUCUAUAGGAAAAACUGUUAAAAUAUUUUUUAAUUAAAAGUAAUAUUUUUUUC
rnacentral:lncRNA from 1 species